GAAACAAUGGAAGAGGCAGAGGAAAAAUUAAUAAGAUUAAAAAGAACCCCUAUUCUUCUCUACCAAUAAUGAGUAGUCUGGUAAAGCAAAAGCGGCUGCUGUUGAAAAAACUUUCAAAUUAAAAGCAUUAGCAAAGGAUUGAUUAAAAAUAGAUAAUAUAUUUAGCCAAAUAGCUUUAGAGUUAACUGACGAACCCACUGAAAUUGCAGAACCUAAGAAAUAAAAGCCAUAAAAAUGUAACCAAAAAAUUGUGAAGAAACAAGUCUAAAAACAUAGUCUCGAAUGGUCAUCUACAUCAAUAGUGUCUUCGAUAUCUUCAUCACCACCGUCAUUGUUAUGUAAACCUACGAAAAUAAAUAAUGAAACUAAAAAAAACGAAUUAAUGACAGUACUAACUACAUAGUUGGCUCAAAAAAAAGGAAAAAAAUUAGUUCAUAAUCUACACCAUACUACCUUGAUCAUCUUCAUCAUCACCAUCAACUAAACGUAGAAAAAUAAGAAAAAUCAACUCGAAUUUGAAGGACAUAAAUAUGCGUAUGGAAAUAGCACAUGAAGACAGUACAUUAGCAACAAUUGCUGAUAAUCCCUUUUCAUCAUCAUCAUAAAUCUGAAACAGAAGCUGAAAUGAAUAUAUUAGCAGCUAGAUCACCAUCAACAAAAAACACUGUAUCCAGUGAUUCUUUGCUGGAAUGUAUCAAACAUAAUUAUAACGGUCUAUCAAAACAAUUAGCAAAUUUAAAAGGCCAUAUCUGCUGACGUUCCCAAAUCCUAUCUGAAAUAAAAAAAUAACAGUACUCAGCUGUUAGAUUUCAGUUUAUUAACAGAUCCUGAAGGAAAUCCAGUGGUCCAAAAAUUAGAAUUUCCGCUAUCAACAAUGGAAGAUAUUAUUUUGAUAAAUUCAAUGAAAAAUUAAAAGGCCAAAAAU